rnacentral:tRNA from 1 species
ACUUUUAUAGUUUAAUGAAAAAUAAGGAUUUGUGGUGUCCUAGGUGUAAUUUACUAAGAGUA